AUUGAACGCUGGCGGCAGGCCUAACACAUGCAAGUCGAACGAGUGGCGGACGGGUGAGUAAUGUCUGGGAAACUGCCUGAUGGAGGGGGAUAACUACUGGAAACGGUAGCUAAUACCGCAUACCCUCAGAUGUGCCCAGAGGGGAUUAGCUAGUUGGUGGGGUAACGGCUCACCAAGGAGACGAUCCCUAGCCGGUCUGAAAGGAUGACCGGCCACACUGAAACUGAGACACGGUCCAACCUCCUGCGGGAGGCAGCAGUGGGGAAUAUUGCACAAGGGGCGCAAGCCUGAUGCAGCCAUGCCGCGUGUAUGAAGAAGGCCUUCGGGUUGUAAAGUACUUUCAGCGGGGAGGCGUUACCCGCAGAAGAAGCACCGGCUAACUCCGUGCCAGCCGCCGCGGUAAUUC
rnacentral:rRNA from 1 species